AUUGAACGCUGGCGGCAGGCCUAACACAUGCCAGUCGAGCGGAUGACGGGAGCUUGCUCCUUGAUUCAGCGGCGGACGGGUGAGUAAUGCCUAGGAAUCUGCCUGGUAGUGGGGGACAACGUUUCGAAAGGAACGCUAAUACCGCAUACGUCCUACGGGAGAAAGCAGGGGACCUUCGGGCCUUGCGCUAUCAGAUGAGCCUAGGUCGGAUUAGCUUGUUGGUGAGGUAAUGGCUCACCAAGGCGACGAUCCGUAACUAGUCUGAGAGGAUGAUCAGUCACACUGGAACUGAGACACGGUCCAGACUCCUACGGGAGGCAGCAGUGGGGAAUAUUGGACAAUGGGCGAAAGCCUGAUCCAGCCAUGCCGCGUGUGUGAAGAAGGUCUUCGGAUUGUAAAGCACUUUAAGUUGGGAGGAAGGGUUGUAGAUUAAUACUCUGCAAUUUUGACGUUACCGACAGAAUAAGCACCGGCUAACUCUGUG
rnacentral:rRNA from 1 species